rnacentral:rRNA from 1 species
AGUGAACGCUGGCGGUAGGCCUAACACAUGCAAGUCGAACGGCAGCACAGUAAGAGCUUGCUCUUACGGGUGGCGAGUGGCGGACGGGUGAGGAAUACAUCGGAAUCUACUUUUUCGUGGGGGAUAACGUAGGGAAACUUACGCUAAUACCGCAUACGACCUACGGGUGAAAGCAGGGGAUCUUCGGACCUUGCGCGAUUGAAUAAGCCGAUGUCGGAUUAGCUAGUUGGCGGGGUAAAGGCCCACCAAGGCGACGAUCCGUAGCUGGUCUGAGAGGAUGAUCAGCCACACUGGAACUGAGACACGGUCCAGACUCCUACGGGAGGCAGCAGUGGGGAAUAUUGGACAAUGGGCGCAAGCCUGAUCCAGCCAUACCGCGUGGGUGAAGAAGGCCUUCGGGUUGUAAAGCCCUUUUGUUGGGAAAGAAAAGCGGCAGGUUAAUACCCCGCUGUUCUGACGGUACCCAAAGAAUAAGCACCGGCUAACUUCGUG